rnacentral:snRNA from 1 species
GGACGUGAGGAUGAUCUGGCUGUGACAUCUGUAACCCCAUUGAUUGUCAGAGUCGAUUUGGCUGCUUUGGCUGGCUAAGUGGGUGUCCCUUCCUCCCUCACCACUCCAUCUAUGUCCGUCCUGAAACCAUGCACUUGGUCGAAGAGGAUGACCUUCCCCAACAGAGAUGUACCAUUAAUCGUUCAAGGGUAUACGGUAGCUACACUCCCCAGCUAGAAACUCCAAACAAGCUCUAGAAAGGUAGCAAUGAAAAGCACAGCGCACUCUAUUCAGGAGAAGGAAGAGGUGAGCGAGCAGAAGAAAGAAGAGGAAGCACUGACGUCUGUCUUGAGAAUGACUUGAUAU